UACGGAGGGUGCAAGCGUUAUCCGGAUUCACUGGGUUUAAAGGGUGCGUAGGCGGAUAGGUAAGUCUGUGGUGAAAUCCUGCAGCUUAACUGCAGAACUGCCAUGGAUACUAUCUAUCUUGAAUGUCGUGGAGGUUAGCGGAAUAUGUCAUGUAGCGGUGAAAUGCUUAGAGAUGACAUAGAACACCCAUUGCGAAGGCAGCUAACUACGCGAUAAUUGACGCUGAUGCACGAAAGCGUGGGGAUCAAACAGG
rnacentral:rRNA from 1 species